AUGCUCACUUCCACAGCUCACAUACUAAAAUUGGAAUGAUACAGAGAUUAACAUAGCCUCUGCAUAAGGAUGACAGGCAAAUUCAUAAAGCAUUCUAUAUCAGA